UAAGACUUUAAUUGAGUGCUAAGAGAAUGGAUUAACAAAAAAUGGCUUUUUAAAAUCAAUAAUUGAAAUUAUUUUUAUUUGUGCAGAAUCAAUAAUAUUAAUUAGGGACAAGAAGACCCUAUGAAUUUUAAAAUAUAUUUUAAAUAUCUUUUAUUUAAAUAUUUAUUUUUAAUUGGGGCGAUUAAAAAAUAUAAAUAACUUUUUUUAAAUAUCAAAAAUGAACCAUUAAUAAUGGUAAAAUGAGUAAAAUACUCUAGGGAUAACAGCGUAAUAAUUUUUGAUAGUUCUUAUAGACAAAAUAGUUUGCGACCUCGAUGUUGGAUUAGGAUUCUUUUUUAAUGAAGAAG
rnacentral:rRNA from 1 species